UACAGAGGGUGCAAGCGUUAAUCGGAAUUACUGGGCGUAAAGCGUGCGUAGACGGUUACAUAAGUCGGGUGUGAAAGCCCCGGGCUCAACCUGGGAAUUGCAUUCGAGACUGCGUAGCUAGGGUGCGGAAGAGGGAAGCGGAAUUCCGGUGUAGCGGUGAAAUGCGUAGAUAUCGGAAGGAACACCAGUGGCGAAAGCGGCUUCCUGGUCCAGCACCGACGUUCAGGCACGAAAGCGUGGGGAGC
rnacentral:rRNA from 1 species